rnacentral:rRNA from 1 species
UAAGGGCGCACGGUGGAUGCCUUGGCACUAGAAGCCGAUGAAGGACGUUACUAACGACGAUAUGCUUUGGGGAGCUGUAAGUAAGCUUUGAUCCAGAGAUUUCCGAAUGGGGAAACCCAGCAUGAGUUAUGUCAUGUUAUCGAUAUGUGAAUACAUAGCAUAUCAGAAGGCACACCCGGAGAACUGAAACAUCUUAGUACCCGGAGGAAGAGAAAGAAAAUUCGAUUCCCUUAGUAGCGGCGAGCGAAACGGGAAGAGCCCAAACCAACAAGCUUGCUUGUUGGGGUUGUAGGACACUCUAUACGGAGUUACAAAGGACGACAUUAGACGAAUCAUCUGGAAAGAUGAAUCAAAGAAGGUAAUAAUCCUGUAGUCGAAAAUGUUGUCUCUCUUGAGUGGAUCCUGAGUACGACGGAGCACGUGAAAUUCCGUCGGAAUCUGGGAGGACCAUCUCCUAAGGCUAAAUACUCUCUAGUGACCGAUAGUGAACCAGUACCGUGA